GACGAACGCUGGCGGCGUGCUUAACACAUGCAAGUCGAACGGAAAGGCCCUGCUUUUGUGGGGUGCUCGAGUGGCGAACGGGUGAGUAACACGUGAGUAACCUGCCCUUGACUUUGGGAUAACUUCAGGAAACUGGGGCUAAUACCGGAUAGGAGCUCCUGCUGCAUGGUGGGGGUUGGAAAGUUUCGGCGGUUGGGGAUGGACUCGCGGCUUAUCAGCUUGUUGGUGGGGUAGUGGCUUACCAAGGCUUUGACGGGUAGCCGGCCUGGGAGGGUGACCGGCGUCAUGAGGACUGAGGGACGGCGCAGACUCCUACGGGAGGCAGUAGUGGGAAAUAUUGCACAGUGGGCGGAAGCCUGAUGCAGCGACGCCGCGUGCGGGAUGACGGCCUUCGGGUUAUAAACCGCUUUCGCAUGUGACGAAGCGUGAGUGACGGUAAUGGGUCAAGAAGCACCGGCUAACUACGUG
rnacentral:rRNA from 1 species